GAUGAACGCUAGCGGCAGGCCUAAUACAUGCAAGUCGAACGGUGUCUUCGGACAUAGUGGCGCACGGGUGCGUAACACGUAUGCAACCUACCUUACAUUGGGGGAUAGCCUUUCGAAAGGGAGAUUAAUACCGCAUAAGACAGUAGCUGGGCAUCCAGCAGCUGUUAAAGAUUUAUCGAUGUAAGCUGGGCAUGCGUCCAAUUAGCUAGUUGGUGAGGUAACGGCUCACCAAGGCAAUGAUUGGUAGGGGAACUGAGAGGUCAAUCCCCCACACUGGCAGUGAGAUGCGGGCCCGACUCCUACGGGAGGCAGCAGUAGGGAAUAUUGGGCAAUGGGCGCAAGUCUGACCCAGCCAUGCCGCGUGCAGGAUGAAGGCGUUAUGCGUUGUAAACUGCUUUUAUGCAGGAAGAAACGACUCUUGCGAGAGGCAUUGACGGUACUGUAUGAAUAAGCACCGGCUAACUCCGUGCCAGCAGCCGCCGUAAGAC
rnacentral:rRNA from 1 species